GGUUAAGCGACUAAGCGUACACGGUGGAUGCCCUGGCAGUCAGAGGCGAUGAAGGACGUGCUAAUCUGCGAUAAGCGUCGGUAAGGUGAUAUGAACCGUUAUAACCGGCGAUUUCCGAAUGGGGAAACCCAGUGUGUUUCGACACACUAUCAUUAACUGAAUCCAUAGGUUAAUGAGGCGAACCGGGGGAACUGAAACAUCUAAGUACCCCGAGGAAAAGAAAUCAACCGAGAUUCCCCCAGUAGCGGCGAGCGAACGGGGAGCAGCCCAGAGCCUGAAUCAGUAUGUGUGUUAGUGGAAGCGUCUGGAAAGGCGCGCGAUACAGGGUGACAGCCCCGUACACAAAAAUGCACAUGCUGUGAGCUCGAUGAGUAGGGCGGGACACGUGGUAUCCUGUCUGAAUAUGGGGGGACCAUCCUCCAAGGCUAAAUACUCCUGACUGACCGAUAGUGAACCAGUACCGUGAGGGAAAGGCGAAAAGAACCCCGGCGAGGGGAGUGAAAAAGAACCUGAAACCGUGUACGUACAAGCAGUGGGAGCACGCUUAGGCGUGUGACUGCGUACCUUUUGUAUAAUGGGUCAGCGACUUAUAUUCUGUAGCAAGGUUAACCGAAUAGGGGAGCCGAAGGGAAACCGAGUCUUAACUGGGCGUUAAGUUGCAGGGUAUAGACCCGAAACCCGGUGAUCUAGCCAUGGGCAGGUUGAAGGUUGGGUAACACUAACUGGAGGACCGAACCGACUAAUGUUGAAAAAUUAGCGGAUGACUUGUGGCUGGGGGUGAAAGGCCAAUCAAACCGGGAGAUAGCUGGUUCUCCCCGAAAGCUAUUUAGGUAGCGCCUCGUGAAUUCAUCUCCGGGGGUAGAGCACUGUUUCGGCAAGGGGGUCAUCCCGACUUACCAACCCGAUGCAAACUGCGAAUACCGGAGAAUGUUAUCACGGGAGACACACGGCGGGUGCUAACGUCCGUCGUGAAGAGGGAAACAACCCAGACCGCCAGCUAAGGUCCCAAAGUCAUGGUUAAGUGGGAAACGAUGUGGGAAGGCCCAGACAGCCAGGAUGUUGGCUUAGAAGCAGCCAUCAUUUAAAGAAAGCGUAAUAGCUCACUGGUCGAGUCGGCCUGCGCGGAAGAUGUAACGGGGCUAAACCAUGCACCGAAGCUGCGGCAGCGACGCUGAUGCGUUGUUGGGUAGGGGAGCGUUCUGUAAGCCUGUGAAGGUGUGCUGUGAGGCAUGCUGGAGGUAUCAGAAGUGCGAAUGCUGACAUAAGUAACGAUAAAGCGGGUGAAAAGCCCGCUCGCCGGAAGACCAAGGGUUCCUGUCCAACGUUAAUCGGGGCAGGGUGAGUCGACCCCUAAGGCGAGGCCGAAAGGCGUAGUCGAUGGGAAACAGGUUAAUAUUCCUGUACUUGGUGUUACUGCGAAGGGGGGACGGAGAAGGCUAUGUUGGCCGGGCGACGGUUGUCCCGGUUUAAGCGUGUAGGCUGGUUUUCCAGGCAAAUCCGGAAAAUCAAGGCUGAGGCGUGAUGACGAGGCACUACGGUGCUGAAGCAACAAAUGCCCUGCUUCCAGGAAAAGCCUCUAAGCAUCAGGUAACAUCAAAUCGUACCCCAAACCGACACAGGUGGUCAGGUAGAGAAUACCAAGGCGCUUGAGAGAACUCGGGUGAAGGAACUAGGCAAAAUGGUGCCGUAACUUCGGGAGAAGGCACGCUGAUAUGUAGGUGAAGUCCCUCGCGGAUGGAGCUGAAAUCAGUCGAAGAUACCAGCUGGCUGCAACUGUUUAUUAAAAACACAGCACUGUGCAAACACGAAAGUGGACGUAUACGGUGUGACGCCUGCCCGGUGCCGGAAGGUUAAUUGAUGGGGUUAGCCGCAAGGCGAAGCUCUUGAUCGAAGCCCCGGUAAACGGCGGCCGUAACUAUAACGGUCCUAAGGUAGCGAAAUUCCUUGUCGGGUAAGUUCCGACCUGCACGAAUGGCGUAAUGAUGGCCAGGCUGUCUCCACCCGAGACUCAGUGAAAUUGAACUCGCUGUGAAGAUGCAGUGUACCCGCGGCAAGACGGAAAGACCCCGUGAACCUUUACUAUAGCUUGACACUGAACAUUGAGCCUUGAUGUGUAGGAUAGGUGGGAGGCUUAGAAGUGUGGACGCCAGUCUGCAUGGAGCCGACCUUGAAAUACCACCCUUUAAUGUUUGAUGUUCUAACGUUGACCCGUAAUCCGGGUUGCGGACAGUGUCUGGUGGGUAGUUUGACUGGGGCGGUCUCCUCCUAAAGAGUAACGGAGGAGCACGAAGGUUGGCUAAUCCUGGUCGGACAUCAGGAGGUUAGUGCAAUGGCAUAAGCCAGCUUGACUGCGAGCGUGACGGCGCGAGCAGGUGCGAAAGCAGGUCAUAGUGAUCCGGUGGUUCUGAAUGGAAGGGCCAUCGCUCAACGGAUAAAAGGUACUCCGGGGAUAACAGGCUGAUACCGCCCAAGAGUUCAUAUCGACGGCGGUGUUUGGCACCUCGAUGUCGGCUCAUCACAUCCUGGGGCUGAAGUAGGUCCCAAGGGUAUGGCUGUUCGCCAUUUAAAGUGGUACGCGAGCUGGGUUUAGAACGUCGUGAGACAGUUCGGUCCCUAUCUGCCGUGGGCGCUGGAGAACUGAGGGGGGCUGCUCCUAGUACGAGAGGACCGGAGUGGACGCAUCACUGGUGUUCGGGUUGUCAUGCCAAUGGCACUGCCCGGUAGCUAAAUGCGGAAGAGAUAAGUGCUGAAAGCAUCUAAGCACGAAACUUGCCCCGAGAUGAGUUCUCCCUGACUCCUUGAGAGUCCUGAAGGAACGUUGAAGACGACGACGUUGAUAGGCCGGGUGUGUAAGCGCAGCGAUGCGUUGAGCUAACCGGUACUAAUGAACCGUGAGGCUUAACCUU
rnacentral:rRNA from 1 species